rnacentral:rRNA from 1 species
GAUGAACGCUGGCGGCGUGCUUAACACAUGCAAGUCGAACGAAGCAUUUGCGACAGAUUUUUUCGGAAUGAAGUUGCUUAUGACUGAGUGGCGGACGGGUGAGUAACGCGUGGGUAACCUGCCUUGUACUGGGGGAUAGCAGCUGGAAACGGCUGGUAAUACCGCAUAAGCGCACAAUGUUGCAUGACAUGGUGUGAAAAACUCCGGUGGUAUAAGAUGGACCCGCGUCUGAUUAGCUAGUUGGUGAGAUAACAGCCCACCAAGGCGACGAUCAGUAGCCGACCUGAGAGGGUGACCGGCCACAUUGGGACUGAGACACGGCCCAGACUCCUACGGGAGGCAGCAGUGGGGAAUAUUGCACAAUGGAGGAAACUCUGAUGCAGCGACGCCGCGUGAGUGAAGAAGUAAUUCGUUAUGUAAAGCUCUAUCAGCAGGGAAGAUAGUGACGGUACCUGGCUAAGAAGCUCCGGCUAAAUACGUG